GGCCCAAUGGUCUAGUAGUAUGAUACGCGCUUCGGGUCUUGAUAGCCCCCUUUUCUAGGGAUGAUUGCGCGGGGUCCCGGGUUCAAUUCCCGGUUGGGCCC